CUCUCUCUCUCUCUCUCUCUCUCUCUCUAGAAACCAGAAAGCAUUUUCUUCUUCUUCCCAUAAAAAACAAAGUAGUGGGUGCCCUUUUCUACUCUUCUACAAUUCUAUCUUCUUCAAAUCUCCUUUAUUUUCUCUUGGGGUUGACUGUUGACUUUAUACUUCGUCUGAGGAUUCGGGUCUAGAUCUGAAUUCCUCAAGCUUUGACAUAUAAUUGAUUGACAACGAGAGAGAGCACGCUUGUAAGCAUUCAUGAAACGGUCAUGACUGUGUACAUGCGUGCUCGUUCUCGUUGUCAUGCAAUUUCCCAACUGCAGCAGGUUUCUUUGGUCUGUAUACAUGUUAUUGGGCAUCUGGGUAGCAGGUGGUUUUGAUCUCUUAUGUACACUAAUUCAAAAUAUAGAAUACUUAAUAUAACUCUAGGUCUAUAGAACCUAUAUGGAAAUUAAGAAUGUUUGUGUGAAUAUACAAAUUCAAAAUAUAGAAUCCGUAUAACUUUAUAUCUAUAAUGCCUAUAUGGCAUGGCAAUUAAGAAUGUGUGUGUGUGUGUGUUAAGUUCAUGUUAUACCUAGUGUAAGCUUUGUUAAUGUUAAAUUACUUUUUAUUGUAUGUUAUUUUUCAAAAAAAAAAAAAUCCAUCAUUGGAUUACAUUGUUUUCUUAUAUACACUUAUGCUUGCAAAAUAUUACUAAAUUUCAAGAUGAUUAAACUACUAAUAACUAUUUCAUCUAUAACUUAAAAAAAAAAAAUUAUACACAAAAUAUAAGUUUAUAUAUGCUAACUAACCAAGCUCUCUCUCUCUCUCUCUCUCUCUCUCUAAUAUUAUUUUAAACUUAUAAAAAAGGUUAUAUAUUAGGUAGUAAAUACUAUUUGAUUACCACAUAAUUUUGGUGUACAUGUUAAACUUGUAAUCCAAUAGUGGGAUUUGAAAAAUGGAAAUUCAUUAGAAAAAUAUUUAAGUGGUGUAACAUUAACAAAAUGAAAAUGUUACUAUAGGUGUAAUUAAAGAUCUUAAGAGGGAUUUGAAAAAUAUCAAUUCAAUUUAAGUGGUGUAACAUUGUCAAAAUGUUACUUUGGUGUAAUUUGAUCUUUACCAUAUGCAUAUGGGCUUAUGUAAGAUCAACCUGCCGUGAAAGAUGAAAUCCCAUUUUGGGUACAGCUACUUAAUUGGCUUGAAUUUUUCUAAAUAUUAAUGCUCAUUUUGUAAUUUAUUUUUUUAUAUUCAUUAAUUUCAUAGCUUUUUAAUUGCACACAACCUUUUUUGGUUGUUCAUAGCCUUUUUAUAUUUUUGAAUAGGCAGAAAAAGUAUUUUAUCUGGUGAUCCCUUUAAGAAACAUGCGUGGUUUGUUGACACCAACACCCCCCCCCAAAAAAAAACCAAAAAAAAAAAAAAAAAUCCUUUUUUACUUGCUCUUGUUGGAAUUUUCGGUAAUUUAAGGAAUUAUUUUAUAGAAACAUUAAAGGGCUCUGAUAUCUCUUGGGUUUUGCCUUAAUAGUUGGACUUUAUAGAGGGGUCACACACACACACAUUCUCUCUAGCCAUGCAAUGGUUGUGUCAUUAUAAUGUAUAACUACUCUAUAAAGCAUUAGAUGGGCUUUGUACAGUUUACAAACACAAGGUGGUUUUUUAAAUUUUUUUAUUUUUAAUAUUAAGGGUUUACUAAGAAAGUGCAAUUGGGGAGGGCACAACACAUGAAGUUCAGGUAAAUUUUGAAAAAGAAUAUUGUCUUGUGGCCUUCAUCUAGAUAAGGAUCUAAGGAAUAAUAUAUAUCAGGUCUAAAAUUGGUAUUUCAGUGUUUCCUUCCCUCCAAAUAAUCACAUGAGACAAUGAGGGAUUGCAGACAAUGAGAAGCUUGUAAGUUUUGUCUUACAUGUUUUUUUCCAUGUUUGUGCCUGUCAUAGAAUUAUUAAUGGACAAAUCUUUCAAUGUUCAAAUUUCUUUUCCUUUUUCCUUUGUUUUUGCUAGGGCAUAUAUGUGGUAUAUUAAACAUUUGUUUUCACAUUUGUUUUCAAAGAUGGUUUUAGUCUUUUAGAUCAUAUUAGGUUUGUGAUUUAAUAUCUAGAAAUCUGUCCUUUUCAUCUCAUUUCCAAAGUCCUAGUGUGUAAGAAUUAUUUCUUUCCAAGUUGGUUGGCAUAACCUGGCAAAUAGCUCUAAGUAGUGGUGCCGGUCACUGUCACUCAUUUGCAUCAUAGAAGUUGCUGCAUAUGCAGAGCUCAGAAAUGAUUGAAUAAAAUUGUAAUUGAGUUGGAAAGAAGCCAGUUGUUGUGUGAGUUGUUGAAAAUGGUUGACACAAUUAGAAGGUGGUAUCCUAUUUUAGAGUGCAAAUAAUGUGUUUGAUCUUUCAUUUUCAGAGGUAGCAUGCAAUAGCGAGUAUGUAAAAAGAUUUUUUCUAUGAAAUAAUUUAUGAAACAUCAUAAAUGGGAAAUAAUUUUUCUUCUUUGGGGGUGGCAACAUUUUGAGCCAAACUGUCAUAGAUUUCCUUUAUAUGUGCUCUAUUCAAGUGAAUCUUUUGUAUAUCUUUCAUUUUUCUCUAGUUAUUUUGGCCAUCCUACUUGUUCUAUGAAAUGGUCCAUAUAUUUAAGAAAUAAUUUUAUUUUUCUUUAUACUCUCAAAUUGUAUAUCUUUACAAUGUUGACAUUCAUAUAUUCUUGCUACUCAUAGGAAAAAGGUCUUGUAAUGGUAUGAUUAGCUACAAGAGUAGCAGGAUGCCAGUUUUAAUUAUAGGGAAGAAGAAAAUAAAAAUAUGUAGAGCAAUUGAACAUUGCUU